AUGGGCGUCUUUUUAACCUCGCAGGGCUGCUGCUGGGUAAAGUAUAAAACCCGUCAUGUUUCGCGGGUUCAAACCCAUUUCAACAAUACCCGAACCCAAAACCCGCCACCCCCACCAAAAUACUGCAUUGAGUGUAUUGGGCCAUUCAGGCUCGACUACACACUAGCCCACCCAGGUAUAGGUGGUGUACAUUCAGGUACAUUGUUGACACCGUCAACAGAAAUUGCAAUUGUGCAUUCAGGUAUAGGUAGUGUACAUUUAGGUACAUUGUUGACUUCUAUUUUUAAUCUUUUGGUUGAAGUUAUGCCGCUGAAAUAUGCUCUUUUUGCUGCUGAAAUUCUAUUUUGUGUUGCUACUAUGUUUGCUUAA
rnacentral:rRNA from 1 species